rnacentral:rRNA from 1 species
UAGGGAAUCUUCGGCAAUGGACGAAAGUCUGACCGAGCAACGCCGCGUGAGUGAAGAAGGUUUUCGGAUCGUAAAACUCUGUUGUUAGAGAAGAACAAGGACGUUAGUAACUGAACGUCCCCUGACGGUAUCUAACUAGAAAGCCACGGCUAACUACGUGCCAGCAGCCGCGGUAAUACGUAGGUGGCAAGCGUUGUCCGGAUUUAUUGGGCGUAAAGCGAGCGCAGGCGGUUUCUUAAGUCUGAUGUGAAAGCCCCCGGCUCAACCGGGGAGGGUCAUUGGAAACUGGGAGACUUGAGUGCAGAAGAGGAGAGUGGAAUUCCAUGUGUAGCGGUGAAAUGCGUAGAUAUAUGGAGGAACACCAGUGGCGAAGGCUGCUCUCUAGUCUGUAGCUGACGCUGAGGCUCGAAAGCGUGGGGAGCAAACAGG